AUGAACGCUGGCGGCGUGCCUCAUACCUGCAAGUCGAGCGGACGGACGAGAAGCUUGCUUCUCUGAUGUUAGCGGCGGACGGGUGAGUAACACGUGGAUAACCUACCUAUAAGACUGGGAUAACUUCGGGAAACCGUAGCUAAUACCGGAUAAUAUUUUGAACCGCAUGGUUCAAAAGUGAAAGACGGUCUUGCUGUCACUUAUAGAUGGAUCCGCGCUGCAUUAGCUAGUUGGUAAGGUAACGGCUUACCAAGGCAACGAUGCAUAGCCGACCUGAGAGGGUGAUCGGCCACACUGGAACUGAGACACGGUCCAGACUCCUACGGGAGGCAGCAGUAGGGAAUCUUCCGCAAUGGGCGAAAGCCUGACGGAGCAACGCCGCGUGAGUGAUGAAGGUCUUCGGAUCGUAAAACUCUGUUAUUAGGGAAGAACAUAUGUGUAAGUAACUGUGCACAUCUUGACGGUACCUAAUCAGAAAGCCACGGCUAACUACGUG
rnacentral:rRNA from 1 species